UACAGAGGUCUCAACCGUUGUUCGGAUUCAUUGGGCGUAAAGGGUGCGUAGGCGGUCGCGCAAGUCGGAUGUGAAAUCUCAGGGCUCAACCCUGAAACUGCAUUCGAUACUGCGUGGCUAGAGUGCUGGAGGGGAGACUGGAAUUUACGGUGUAGCAGUGAAAUGCGUAGAUAUCGUAAGGAAGACCAGUGGCGAAGGCGAAUCUCUGGACAGCAACUGACGCUGAGGCACGAAGGCCAGGGGAGCAAACGGG
rnacentral:rRNA from 1 species